GGCAGGGGAACAGCUAUAGCUUAGUGGUAGAGUAUCUCUGCUUUGCAUUCAAAAGGUCCCAGGUUCAAUUGUUGGCAUUGCCA